rnacentral:lncRNA from 1 species
AAGCCAAAACGGACAGCACGUUUGCCAGGGAGAUUGCCCGAUGCUUGUGGCAGGCACAGGAAUUAAUCCACAGGAGUGUUACGAGCAAAAGUAUGUAUGCGAAAGCUAAAGGAAGGUGGUGAGGCCAAGCCAGCGUUGACACCACAAAAUCUUGGUGCAUAUCUAAAGGCAUACGAGCACUUUGUUUCAAAAACGCCAAGCACCGUGGAUACAGAGGCAAGGAGGCUGAAGGACCUGAACAAGCACCUGGCCACCAUGCUUCGGGAUGCAAAAUAAAGAUGGUUUGUGUUAA